CGCCUCUUGCUUAUCUAUAAGAGGUCCAACCUGCCCAGUGAAUUCUUCAACGGCCGCGGUACCCUGACCGUGCUAAGGUAGCGCAAUCACUUGCCCUUUAAUUGGGGGCUAGUAUGAAAGGUCAAACGAGGGUGAACCUGUCUCAUCGGGUCCCAAUAAAACUUAACCUUCAUGUGAAGAGGCAUGACUACUAUAGAAAGACGAGAAGACCCUGUCAAGCUUCACACUAACCGUGCCACACACCCCCCCGCACAAAAAGUGUUUUGUUGGGGCAACACAGGAACCAACUCUUCCUCACGACCCCACUCCUUAUAGUAAAUAAUCCGGCACCGCCGAACAUAGACAAAGCUACUGCAGGGAUAACAGGCUAAUCUGCUUCGAGAGCCCACAUUGACAAGCAGGCUUGGCACCUCGAUGUUGGCUUAAGGGCCCUUGCUGGGGCAGCCCCCAGCAAAAGGAGGUUUGUUCAACCUAUAACCCCUUA
rnacentral:rRNA from 1 species